CAGAAAAAGAGGUAGCCCCUCCCUAGUAAUCAGAGUCAAGCAAAUAACAUUUUUCCCUCCGGGAUAGGAAACAACAGAAAAGACUGACAGGGCCAAAUGUGAGUCGACGUGUGCAGAAGUCCUGGUAGUCUGGUCCUUGUUCCAGUCUGGAUACCAGCUUCCUUCAGCAGUGCAGGCGGUGGUCCCUGACGCUAGUGGAAGGAGUCAAACUUGCGGGAAUUUUGCAGAAGUCAUUGUAUUCCAAGAAGAAUACACAAAAAAAUAAAAUAAGGAAGGAAGGAAGAGAGGUAGACAGAUACAAGAUGAAAUCCUGUCAAAAAUUUGAAGGAAAACCAGAAAAUGAGAGUGAACCAAAGCAUGAGGAAGAGCCAAAGCCUGAGGAAAAGCCAGAGGAGGAGGAGGAGAAGCUAGAGGAGGAGGCCAAAGCAAAAGGAACUUUUAGAGAAAGGCUGAUUCAAUCUCUCCAGGAGUUUAAAGAAGAUAUACACAACAGGCAUUUAAGCAAUGAAGAUAUGUUUAGAGAAGUGGAUGAAAUAGACGAGAUAAGGAGAGUCAGAAACAAACUUAUAGUGAUGCGUUGGAAGGUCAAUCGAAACCACCCUUACCCCUAUUUAAUGUAGUUUACCUUGAUUUUUUCUGAUAUUAACAAUACCAUAUAGCUUGCUUUUUAUUAGCAUUUCCUGAUAUUCCUUUGUCCAUAUUUCUACUUAUAACCUGUUGCUAUUAAUGGUUUUAGAUGUAUCUCUUGUUAUCUGCAUCUCAUUGUUUAUUGUAUUUUGAACCAAUCUACAAGUCUCUGUCUUUUAAUAAAAGAACUUUACUCAUUUGUAAAAAAGAGGUUCUUGGUAGGAUAUAAAAUGGAAAAAGGCUAAGUAAUAUGUGAAUAUCAUAUUUUUGAAAGGUAAAAAGUACAUUUGUAUAUUACAUAUAUGGACAUAACUUGUGAAGGAUGAAAGAAAGUAUAGCCUCUCGGUGGUGGGAUUAUGAAUGAUUUUUCUCCUUUUGCUUAUUUGUAUUUUCUAUAUUCCUAAAAUUAACACACAUUAUUGUUGCUAGAAUAAUAAAAGCUUUAUAACAAAAAGAA